UACGGAGGGUGCGAGCGUUGUUCGGAAUUACUGGGCGUAAAGCGCGUGUAGGCGGCCGAUUAAGUCUGGUGUGAAAGCCCGGGGCUCACCCCCCGGAAGUGCGCUGGAAACUGGUCGGCUAGAGUAUGGGAGAGGAAAGUGGAAUUCCCGGUGUAGAGGUGAAAUUCGUAGAUAUUCGGAAGAACACCAGUGGCGAAGGCGACUUACUGGACACAUACUGACGCUGAGGUGCGAAAGCGUGGGGAGCAAACAGG
rnacentral:rRNA from 1 species